rnacentral:rRNA from 1 species
CUUGGUGUUACUGCGAAGGGGGGACGGAGAAGGCUAUGUUGGCCGGGCGACGGUUGUCCCGGUUUAAGCGUGUAGGCUGGUUUUCCAGGCAAAUCCGGAAAAUCAAGGCUGAGGCGUGAUGACGAGGCACUACGGUGCUGAAGCAAGAAAUGCCCUGCUUCCAGGAAAAGCCUCUAAGCAUCAGGUAACAUCAAAUCGUACCCCAAACCGACACAGGUGGUCAGGUAGAGAAUACCAAGGCGCUUGAGAGAACUCGGGUGAAGGAACUAGGCAAAAUGGUGCCGUAACUUCGGGAGAAGGCACGCUGAUAUGUAGGUGAAGCGACUUGCUCGUGGAGCUGAAAUCAGUCGAAGAUACCAGCUGGCUGCAACUGUUUAUUAAAAACACAGCACUGUGCAAACACGAAAGUGGACGUAUACGGUGUGACGCCUGCCCGGUGCCGGAAGGUUAAUUGAUGGGGUUAGCGCAAGCGAAGCUCUUGAUCGAAGCCCCGGUAAACGGCGGCCGUAACGAUAACGGUCCUAAGGUAGCGAAAUUCCUUGUCGGGUAAGUUCCGACCUGCACGAAUGGCGUAAUGAUGGCCAGGCUGUCUCCACCCGAGACUCAGUGAAAUUGAACUCGCUGUGAAGAUGCAGUGUACCCGCGGCAAGACGGAAAGACCCCGUGAACCUUUACUAUAGCUUGACACUGAACAUUAAGCCUUGAUGUGUAGGAUAGGUGGGAGGCUUUGAAGUGUGGACGCCAGUCUGCAUGGAGCCGACCUUGAAAUACCUCCCUUUAAUGUUUGAUGUUCUAACGUUGACCCGUAAUCCGGGUUGCGGACAGUGUCUGGUGGGUAGUUUGACUGGGGCGGUCUCCUCCUAAAGAGUAACGGAGGAGCACGAAGGUUGGCUAAUCCUGGUCGGACAUCAGGAGGUUAGUGCAAUGGCAUAAGCCAGCUUGACUGCGAGCGUGACGGCGCGAGCAGGUGCGAAAGCAGGUCAUAGUGAUCCGGUGGUUCUGAAUGGAAGGGCCAUCGCUCAACGGAUAAAAGGUACUCCGGGGAUAACAGGCUGAUACCGCCCAAGAGUUCAUAUCGACGGCGGUGUUCGGCACCUCGAUGUCGGCUCAUCACAUCCUGGGGCUGAAGUAGGUCCCAAGGGUACGGCUGUUCGCCAUUUAAAGUGGUACGCGAGCUGGGUUUAGAACGUCGUGAGACAGUUCGGUCCCUAUCUGCCGUGGGCGCUGGAGAACUGAGGGGGGCUGCUCCUAGUACGAGAGGACCGGAGUGGACGCAUCACUGGUGUUCGGGUUGUCAUGCCAAUGGCACUGCCCGGUAGCUAAAUGCGGAAGAGAUAAGUGCUGAAAGCAUCUAAGCACGAAACUUGCCCCGAGAUGAGUUCUCCCUGACUCCUUGAGAGUCCUGAAGGAACGUUGAAGACGACGACGUUGAUAGGCCGGGUGUGUAAGCGCAGCGAUGCGUUGAGCUAACCGGUACUAAUGAACCGUGAGGCUUAACCUU